rnacentral:lncRNA from 1 species
AAGGGCCAUUAACCCUUUCUCUGCCGGGCACACUCAGUCCCCACGCCCCACACCUAUUGUCUCCUGUGCUAGAAGCUUUGCAGAAAACCUGGAAAUUUUGGCCAGAAAUGGUGAGAAGAAAAAGCAUGAAGAAGCCGCGAAGUGUGGGGGAGAAAAAGGUGGAAGCGAAGAAACAGCUCCCGGAGCAAACUGUACAAAAACCUCGCCAAGAGUGUCGGGAGGCAGGACCGUUAUUCCUGCAGAGCAGGAGAGAGACGAGAGACCCUGAAACACGCGCCACCUAUCUUUGUGGGGAGGGAUAAUUGAAGCGCCCUGAGCGUACCAGAGCCAGAAAAAAAAAUGCUGCAUGGGAGCUGCAUCUUAGGGCAUGUGUAUUAGGGUGUGUGCAUGAUGAAUUUCUGGACUGGAUCCCAAUAUUAAAAAGUAGUUUGGCAUUUUAAUAAAGGGUCUCUAAGUAAAUUAAAAUAGAACACUCGGUUGGCCGAUCUCUGAAUCUCUCUACACCUCGGGGAGACCUCACUACAAAGUAAGGGAGAGUGUGUAGGGAGGCAGGAGGAGAAACGAGAAAGGCCAUAGAGAAACUUAGCAGGGAAGGGAGAGCAUGAUAUUAAACGGCAUGGGGUCUAAGUUUUGGAGUAUAUAUUUUUUGAUAUUACAAUUAAAGUAAGAUUAAAAAGAAAAGACUCCACCUUUGCUCUGAAGGGAUUGGUUAUGCAAAUAUGGAAGGGAUUUCCUGGAGAAUACAGCUUUCUACUGUAUGGUUAAUUAAAUAAUCACUCAAAAGCUUCCAACGUGACGCUUCUGUCGUAAUCCAAUCAGGUUACAUAGGUCCUAAACAAGAAAGAUAUUUUCCACAUCUGGAAGUCAGCAAUUUAGCAAGUACUGCACAUUAUUAACCAAUUCAGAGCCCACUUCCCAGGGGAAUUUUUUUGAAGUUUAAGUGUUCUUAACCAAUGCUCUGCUGUUUUGUUAAUCAAAAAGCUGGUUUACACUGCACAUAAUUGGAACUAAUAUAGAAGUAAAUAAAGACAGCCAAAUUUGAGGAUGCUGAGCACAGGCAUUUAUCGGAAAAGGAAGAAAUCUCCUAUCCUCGGAUGGUUCAGGCUCAAUUUCUUAAAUAACUGUGAGACUUUUUUUUUUUUCCUAAAGAGUGAAAGUGCUUGAGAACCUCAGAGCACAAAUAAACUUCUAGCCUCACAGCAUUUAGGAUUCUUCGGAAAGGUAAAGGUGGAGGUGUUAAGAGGACCAGAGAGCUGCCUCACACCAAUUUUUAAGCUUUAAUAUUGUUAAAUAUGUUACACCCUCCUGUUUCCAGUCUGAUGAAAUCUGAAACAAAUAAUACCCUGAUCCAACACUAUAUUAAGAUAAACUGCUUUGAACUGUGCUUUGAAUGUGUGCCUAAAGCAAGACUUUGAAUGCAAGAGUCACUGGCAAUUGCACUCAAAGGAGGGACAAGCCACCACAUGGGUUGCCACAUCCACACUCCCAGAGAAAGCUUCACAUGUGAGAUAAAUGCACUCAAAGAUUCCUCACAAGUAGCUCUUUGGAGCUUCAGAUGUGAAAUGGAUCAUUCCUCAAUCUGUAAUAGACCCUUCUGUGAAGCUCUUCAAUCAAACCAGAGAAUUCAAGAGUUUCCAACACCUAAGAGUGGUAUUUGGCAAAUGGUGGGCCAAAGGAAUAAAGAAGGCAUGCAAAACUCUUGACAGAAGACAUUCAGAAAUUGAUUUGAUAUCAGAUACAAGGAGAAAAUAUGCCAGUAAGAAAAUGCAUUUUUCAAGAUUAAAUUCGGCAUUUGUUACUUAAUAGCAUUUGUCAUAUUCCAAUUUUUCAUAUGUAGUAAAUUCAUUUCAAAUCAUUUCGCUCUUCCAAGUGCCUUUGUGUAUUGUAUUUCUUUUUUCACAUCCUUUUGGAUAACAUUUGAGA